rnacentral:SRP_RNA from 1 species
GCCUGUAGUCCCAGCUAGUCAGGAGGCUGAGGUGGGAGGAUCGCUUGAGCCCAGGAGUUCUGGGCUGUAGUGCGCUAUGCUGAUCGGGUGUCCGCACUAAGUUUGGCAUCAAUAUGUGACCUCCCAGGAGUGAGGGACCACCAGGUUGCCUAAGGAGGAGUGAACCGGCCCAGGCUGGAAAGGGAGUGGGUCAAAACUCCACUGCUGAUCAGUAGUGGGAUCGCGCCUGUGAAAAGCCACUGCACUCCAGCCUGGGCAAUGUAGUGAGACCUUGUCUCU